UUAUGUAAAGUAUUAUUUCUUAUUCCUGUUUCCUACUGAAUCAACUGUUCGAUUUGUGAUUUGUAACUUCUGCUUAAUUUCCUAUAGCUUUAAAUUACAAUCAUUAAGUGGCAGUUUCGGCAUAGGCCUGUAGCCUACACUUUUUAAAGCAAAUUACUUGUGGCUGUUUUAAAUACAAUGCUUAAGUAGGGACUAAUCUCUGCCUCAACACUGUUUAUUGUAAUCAUGAUCGCUACCUCUGCCAUAAUUAUUGUAUUUAUGGUUUGGGCCUCAUAUCCAACAUCAGAAUCUUCAAGUCCUCUUCACAUACCGCUUGGGAGAAAAUUGUUGAUACCCUGCAUAAGUAAUGAAAAUCAUCCAGAAUCUUUUAGCUGGUUUUACAGUACAACCAAUGUUGGUCAGCGCCGCACCCAGAUUUUUCAUGAGGAUAAAAGUGGCCUACAUCUCCUUUCCAAAGAUUUAUGGCAUAGAAAGAGUGUUUUAAGGAAUCGUUCACUUGUAAUCAGCCCUUUUACAGAGGAGGAUCAAGGAAUAUACUCAUGUGAAUUGUAUAAAAAUGACAAGAUCACAAAUGGAUUGUCCACUUCAGUUGUUCUUGAAAAAGAAUCUCACAUGCCAGUAAUAACCACUGUGUCAAGCAGUGGUUUUAUGCAUGAAGUAACUAAGAAUGUGAUUACCAGCACAUAUUACGCACUUGACUCCGCUCUGAACAACACCACCAACAAAAGCAUAGACAAUGGGCCCACUCCUCGAGAUAACCGAGAAACUCAAUGGCUGGCAUCAACAGUAGCUGGAGUCUCUGCAGCUGUGUGGCUUUUCCUUGUUGCACUGGCACUGUUUAUAUUAUGCCAUUUCAAAUGGAGAAUACUCGCAGCUUCUGCCAAUCAACUUCUCUGUGGUGGCCAGGGGACCAGCUUUGAGGAAGAAACUACACUUGUUUAUUCAUCCUUGGUCAGGAGAUUCCAACAGAGAGAUGACAUCAGAAAUGACAAUGAGUGUGUGUACAGUCAUAUCAGGGUCUAGGAACUAAGAAUGACACUACUUUGAUGAGAGGCGUAAUAAAUAGUUUAAAUCAAGUUUUUCCAUUGUGCUCAGGCACACAAAAUGACAAAAGGCAUACUGUUUUGUUUGUAUUAAAUUGGUAUUGCACUGUGUCAAGCACUUCUGUACUUUUAACCUUUAAACCACUAUAAAAAAAAAUAAAAGGAAGAGGCCUGCUUUAUAUCUCAAAAAGCAUAAAGCCUGUGUAUUUAUAUGUCUAUACAUUUUAUUUGUGACAUACUUGUAAAGAAGUUGCUGAAAUGUGACAUUUUGAACUCAUCGAGCCGCUGAGUUACUUUCAGAACUCUACAACGUUUCCGUUCUUGAAUGCCCCUUGUUGCAUACCGUUGCACAAUGAGCAUACGCGGAUCUGGGUGAGAAGUAUGAUAGCUAGCUAGCUAUUCCUCCCCCAUCACACGGGCUCAACUCUAGCCAAUCUGUCACUGUGAAAGUUGAAAACGUUUAUUUGUACCUGCCUAGCAACGUAGCUAGCUAGUUUCAAUGUAACUAUGAGCUAACGUUAGCUAGGUUGCAAGUUAGCUUGAUACUCGACAGUCCAAGCCGCCAAACAUAAGCGACCUGUCUGACACUGACGAGUGAUGGAGGCCCCACCAGUCUCAGUGCUGCCCAUCACGGGGGGCACAAUUAACAUGAUGGAGUACCUGCUGCAAGGCAGCGUCUUGGACCAGGCCCUCGAAAGCCUAUUGCACCGCCUCCGGGGCCUUUGUGACAACAUGGAACCCGAGACGUUUGCCGACCAUGAGCUGGUCUACCUGCUGAAGGGCCAGCAGGGCAACCCGUUCCUGUUGCGAGCCCGCCGCUCCCUCUCCCACCCCACAGUGCCCUGGCACCUGCGCUACCUGGGCCAGCCGGAGGUGGGUGACAAGUCCCGCCACGUGCUGGUUCGCAACUGUGUGGAUGUGGCCGCCUCGCACAGCCUGCCCGACUUCCUCAAUGAAAUGGGCUUCCGCAUGGACCACGAGUUCGUAGCCAAGGGCCACAUUUUCCGCAAAGGCGUGCUCAAAGUGGUGGUGAGUAAACUGUCUCGCAUCCUGGUCCCCGGGAAUACAGAGAACACUGAGCCGCUGUCACUCUCCUACCUGGUGGAGCUCAGUGUGUUGGCCCCCGCGGGCCAGGAUACCAUGUCAGAGGACAUGCGCAGCUUCGCUGAGCAGCUCAAGCCCCUGGUUCACCUGGAGAAGAUUGACCCCAAGAGACACAUGUAAAAAGGAGUGUUUUAUGAUGAGCCUCUGUUGGCUGUCAUGGACAAAGUGUAGUUUUUAUUUAAAAAAAUAUGUUUUUACAUGGGACUUAGUUUUGUAUGAUUCCUAUGAGAAAGCGCUUUCCCACAGUCCUUUGUCUCUGUGAAUGAACUCUAGAUCUCACAAUCUUGAUGCGUGUCUCGUACAUUUGGAGAAGGACCAUCUGUCAUUAGGAUGUUAGUGGUGUUUGACAAGGACUUCACAGGAGGUUUAUGACAUAGCCAACAUGGACGAUGUGACAAAUGAGGCUUUGAAUGAGUCAAUAAAUAACAAUGUUUCUAUUCACAGUGCCGAACUCUUAGAACAUACGUUUUGUGUGAUGCUGAUAGUGCUUUGUUCUGUCUUAGAGAUGUCUUAAGAAAUGCACAGAGCUAUAGUGUUUAUUAAAAAUUAUUUUUCUCAA